UGCGCAGGCGGCCUGAUAAGUCAGGGGUGAAAUAUGUCGGCUUAACCGGCAAACGGCCCCUGAAACUGCCAGGCUUGAGUCCGGGAGAGGUUAGUGGAAUUCCUGGUGUAGCGGUGAAAUGCGUAAAUAUCGGGAGGAACACCAAUGGCGAAGGCAGCUAACUGGCCCGGUACUGACGCUCAGGCACGAAAGCUAGGGGAGCGAACAGGAUUAGAUACCCUGGUAGUCC
rnacentral:rRNA from 1 species